GUCCCCGUAGCUCAGUUGGAUAGAGCGACCGCCUCCUAAGCGGUAGGUCACAGGUUCGAAUCCUGUCGGGGACG
rnacentral:tRNA from 1 species